rnacentral:rRNA from 1 species
AGAAUCAACGCUGGCGGCGUGCCUAACACAUGCAAGUCGCACGAGAAAGGGACUUCGGUCCUAAGUACAGUGGCGCACGGGUGAGUAACACGUGAAUUAUCUACCUCCGAGUGGGGAAUAACUGAGAGAAAUCUUAGCUAAUACCGCAUAACACUUACGAGUCAAAGCAGCAAUGCGCUUGGAGAGGAGUUCGCGGCAGAUUAGUUAGUUGGCGGGGUAAUGGCCCACCAAGACGAUGAUCUGUAUCCGGCCUGAGAGGGCGCACGGACACACUGGAACUGAAACACGGUCCAGACUCCUACGGAGGCAGCAGUGGGGAAUUUUGCGCAAUGGGGGAAACCCUGACGCAGCAACGCCGCGUGGAGGAUGAAAUAUCUUGGUAUGUAAACUCCUUUCGAUGGGGAAGAUAAUGACGGUACCCAUAGAAGAAGCCCCGGCUAACUUCGUGCCAGCAGCCGC